UAUUACUGUAGCAUAGGUAUUUAUAACUAAACAAAUUUAUUAGUUUAUAUGCAUUUUAAUUUUUUUAUAUAUUUAAUAUGCUUUAUUAUUUUUAGCAAUCUGAAGAAAAUUGUGAACUAGACCCCAAACUGUAUAAUGUCGUUCCACAGACCAGUAAUGAAAUGCAAUCUGAAGAAAAUUGUGAACUAGUGACCAAAUUGUGUAAUGUCAUUCCACAGACCAGUAAUGAAAUGCAAGCUGAAGAAAUUUGUGAGCCCAAAUCUUGUUAUGUUCCACAGACUAGUAGUUUCAGUAAUGAAAUG